CACCGCCCGUCACGUCAUGGGAGUUGGCAACACCUGAAGUCCGUGAGCUAGCCUUUCGAGGGGGCAGCGGCCGAGGGUGGGGCUGAUGACUGGGACG
rnacentral:rRNA from 1 species